rnacentral:rRNA from 1 species
GAUGAACGCUGGCGGCGUGCCUAAUACAUGCAAGUCGAGCGAACAGACUAGGAGCUUGCUCCUCUGACGUUAGCGGCGGACGGGUGAGUAACACGUUGAUAACCUACCUAUAAGACUGGGAUAACUUCGGGAAACCGGAGCUAAUACCGGAUAAUAUAUUGAAUCGCAUGGUUCAAUAGUGAAAGACGGUUUUGCUGUCACUUAUAGAUGGAUCCGCGCCGCAUUAACUAGUUGGUAAGGUAACGGCUUACCAAGGCAACGAUGCGUAGCCGACCUGAGAGGGUGAUCGGCCACACUGGAACUGAGACACGGACCAGACUCCUACGGGAGGCAGCAGUAGGGAAUCUUCCGCAAUGGGCGAAAGCCUGACGGAGCAACGACGCGUGAGUGAUGAAGGUAUUCGGAUCGUAAAACUCUGUUAUUAGGGAAGAACAAAUGUGUAAGUAACUAUGCACGUCUUGACGGUACCUAAUCAGAAAGCCACGGCUAACUACGUG